rnacentral:rRNA from 1 species
CCAGACUCCUACGGGAGGCAGCAGUGGGGAAUAUUGCACAAUGGGGGAAACCCUGAUGCAGCAACGCCGCGUGAGUGAAGAAGUAUUUCGGUAUGUAAAGCUCUAUCAGCAGGGAAGAAGAUGACGGUACCUGAAUAAGAAGCCCCGGCUAACUACGUGCCAGCAGCCGCGGUAAUACGUAGGGGGCAAGCGUUAUCCGGAUUUACUGGGUGUAAAGGGAGCGCAGACGGCAGUGCAAGUCUGGAGUGAAAGCCCGGGGCCCAACCCCGGGACUGCCCUUGGAACUGCAUGGCUGGAGUGCGGGAGGGGCAGGCGGAAUUCCUGGUGUAGCGGUGAAAUGCGUAGAUAUCAGGAGGAACACCGGCGGCGAAGGCGGCCUGCUGGACCGCGACUGACGUUGAGGCUCGAAAGCGUGGGGAGCGAACAGGAUUAGAUACCCCCGUAGAC